AGCUUUGCGCAGUGGCAGUAUCGUAGCCAAUGAGGUUUAUCCGAGGCGCGAUUAUUGCUAAUUGAAAAAAAAGCCCAUUUGGUGUGAUGGUAUACUAACAGAGACCUAUACUUACAACUAUCUGCAGGAAGGAUA